ensembl:lncRNA
UCAACAAAUUCACCCCAAAAAUCAACAAAUUCACCCCAAAAAUCCACAAAUUCACCCCAAAAACCCCAAAUUCACCCCAAAAAUCCAAAAAUUCACCCCAAAAAACCCCAAAUUCACCCCAAAAACCCCAAAUUCACCCCAAAAAUCAACAAAUUCACCCCAAAUUCACCCCAAAAACCCCAAAAAUCAACAAAUUCACCCCAAAUUCACCCCAAAAACCCCAAAAAUCAACAAAUUCACCCCAAAAACCCCAAAUUCACCCCAAAUUCACCCCAAAUUCACCCCAAAAAUCCACAGAUUCACCCCAAAAUACCCCAAAUUCACCCCAAAAAUCAACAAAUUCACCCCAAAAACCCCAAAAACCCACAAAUUCACCCCAAAAUACCCCAAAUUCACCCCAAAUUCACCCCAAAAAUACAAAAAUUCACCCCAAAUUCACCUGUACCGGGAGGUGAGAGCCAAAAUCCCCCAAAUUCACCCCAAAAACCCCAAAUUCACCCCAAAAAUCCACAAAUUCACCCCAAAUUCACCUGUACCGGGAGGUGAGAGCCAAAAUCCCCCAAAUUCACCCCAAAAAACCCCAAAUUCACCCCAAAAUCCCACAAAUUCACCCCAAAAUACCCCAAAAUCCCACAAAUUCACCCCAAAAUACCCCAAAAAUCCACAAAUUCACCCCAAAAUACCCCAAAUUCACCCCAAAUUCUCCCCAAAUUCACCCCAAAUUCACCUGUACCGGGAGGUGAGAGCCAAAAUCCCCCAAAUUCACCCCAAAAACCCCCAAAAAUCAACAAAUUCCCCAAAUUCACCCCAAAUUCACCUGUACCGGGAGAACCCCGGCUCGCACCAGUUCGAGGAGCAGCCGAUCCAGCUGCUCUUCCCCGAGCUGCAGGACGUCCCCAGCACCGUUCUGUGGCUCCACGUGCAGCCCCUGUAUCCCCAUCAUUCUCUGGCUCCAUUUUUCCCAUUUUUCCCUGUUUUUUCCCCGUUUUCCCAGCGUUCUCUGGCUCCACGUCCAGCCCCUGUAUCCCCAUCAUUCUCUGGCUCCAUUUUUCCCAUUUUCCCCUGUUUUUUCCCCGUUUUCCCAUCAUUCUCUGGCUCCAUUUUUCCCAUUUUUUCCCCAUUUUUCCCCUGUAUCCCCAUCAUUCUCUGGCUCCAUUUCCAUCCCGAUUUUUCCCAUUUUUCCCAUUUUUUCCCCCGUUUUCCCAGCGUUCUCUGGCUCCACGUCCAGCCCCUUUAUUCCCAUCAUUCUCUGGCUCCAUUUCCAUCCCGAUUUUUCCCAUUUUUCCCAUUUUUUUCCCCGUUUUCCCAUUUUUUUCCCCAUUUUUUUCCCCAUUUUUCCCGUUUUUUCCCCGUUUCCCCAGCGUUCUCUGGCUCCAUUUCCAUCCCUAUUUUCCCCAUUUUUUUCCCCAUUUCUUUCGCCAUUUUUCCCAUUUUUUUUCCCAUUUUUUUUCCCCCAUUUUUUCCCCACAUUUUUCCCCAUUUUCCCAUCAUUCUCUGGCUCCAUUUUUCCCAUUUUUCCCCGUUUUUCCCCCGUUUUCCCAGCGUUCUCUGGCUCCACGUCCAGCCCCUGUAUCCCCAUCAUUCUCUGGCUCCAUUUUUCCCAUUUUUCCCACUUUUUUUCCCAUUUUUCCCUGUUUUUCCCCGUUUUCCCAGCGUUCUCUGGCUCCACGUCCAGCCCCUUUAUUCCCAUCAUUCUCUGGCUCCAUUUCCAUCAUUCUCUGGCUCCAUUUUUCCCAUUUUUCCCCGUUUUUUCCCCGUUUUCCCAGCGUUCUGUGGCUCCACGUCCAGCCCCUGUAUCCCCAUCAUUCUCUGGCUCCAUUUUUCCCAUUUUUCCCUGUUUUUUCCCCGUUUUCCCAUCAUUCUCUGGCUCCAUUUCCAUCCCGAUUUUUCCCAUUUUCCCCUGUUUUUCCCCGUUUUCCCAGCGUUCUGUGGCUCCACGUCCAGCCCCUGUAUCCCCAUCAUUCUCUAGCUCCAUUUUUCCCAUUUUUUUCCCCAUUUUUUCCCCAUUUCCCCAUCAUUCUCUGGCUCCAUUUCCAUCCCCAUUUUUCCCAUUUUUCCCUGUUUUUUCCCCGUUUUCCCAGCGUUCUGUGGCUCCACAUGCAGCCCCUGUUUUCCCAUCAUUCUCUGGCUCCAUUUUUCCCAUUUUUCCCUGUUUUUUCCAUUUAUCCCCAUCAUUCUCUGGCUCCAUUUUUCCCAUUUUUCCCUGUUUUUUCCCCAUUUUCCCCAUUUUUUUCCCAUUUUUUUCCCCAUUUUUCCCAUUUCCCAUUAUUUUUCCCCAUUUUUUCCCCACAUUUUUCCCCAUUUUCCCAUCAUUCUCUGGCUCCAUUUUUCCCAUUUUUCCCUGUUUUUUCCCCAUUUAUCCCCAUCAUUCUCUGGCUCCAUUUUUCCCAUUUUUCCCCGUUUUUCCCCCGUUUUCCCAGCGUUCUGUGGCUCCACGUCCAGCCCCUGUAUCCCCAUCAUUCUCUGGCUCCAUU